rnacentral:lncRNA from 1 species
UGUCACUCACGGUUACCUCGCUGCUGCUGGGACUGCAAAGUCAAAGUUAAAAACGAGGGGAUGAUUCACAGCCUGGAUGGAUGAGGACUGAGGGUUCUGCCGGGUGUUUCUCAGCUCUGGCUCCUCCAGCAUCCCCAGCCAAGGUGUUCAUCAUGCCACUACUGCUGCAAGAAGAGGUGGCCUGGCAGUCAUCCCUCCCUGGGGAGCUCUGGGUACUCCUUGUAGAAGAGUGGCAGCACGAAUUCUGCUCAGUGGACACUUUGUCCCCGCUCUGCCUUGUAUCAGCCUGCCUCACCUCAGAACACCUCUCUGCUCAGGGCUGUUUCUGCCACAUUCCCAAACAGCCCAGGCUGAGCAAUGGUUUGGG